rnacentral:rRNA from 1 species
UACAGAGGUCUCAAGCGUUGUUCGGAUUCAUUGGGCGUAAAGGGUGCGUAGGUGGCGGGGUAAGUCAGGUGUGAAAUUUCGGAGCUUAACUCCGAAACUGCAUUUGAUACUGCCUUGCUUGAGGACUGGAGAGGAGACUGGAAUUCACGGUGUAGCAGUGAAAUUCGUAGAUAUUCGGAAGAACACCAGUGGCGAAGGCGACUUACUGGACACAUAUUGACGCUGAGGUGCGAAAGCGUGGGGAGCAAACAGG